GUAAUAGUUAGAGGAGAGGAAGGAGUAGUAGUACUCUCUCGCUCACGAUAAGCAGAUGAUGUGAACUGGUGUUCUUUUAUCUGAUGUUUUACUGACGUCCUCUUCUCUCCUCUCCCUGUACGGGAAGUUAGAAUCGCCACUUCGUCACUCCGCCAGCAGCACACUCUCAGCCUGAUAGGACUGACUUGCUUGCCACAUGAAUGCACUCUAACCAAUGAGCAGAACUCAUGAGCCUUUUUGCACUUUUAAAUAAUUCACGUAGCUUUAAUAAGGGGAGGAGCUAAGCUUUAGGAGGGAAAAAAAAGAUCUUGAGCAAGAUGCAGUACCUGGGGAAAAUUCCAGCCCUGGUUUGGUCCACUUGUGCACUUGGACCCGAUCAGUAGAGGAGGAAAGGACGGAGAGGAAGCUGACCAAGUUAAAUCAGAGCACGUGGUUAAAUAAUGGCACCCUGGAUUUCCAGAAAUGUAACUUCACUGUUCAUGUGAGGCGUUUCAAAAGAGUUCAAAGGCACACUUAUCUCUCAAUCACAGUGUUUUUGUUCAAUCUUGACGCAUUGUUCUGCUAUGUCCUAAAAUAAAUACCUCCGAUUUGUGCCCUCACCCCCUCCAUUUCAGACUGUCCUGAUGACUUUCCUGGUCACAUGGUUCUCUCAGUGCUUAUAAUGCUUACUAUGGCAACAAGUGUUCCUCCAGCUGCCAGAUAUGUGUUGGGAAAAGAGAAAGCCAUACGGAAAGAGGUUCGCCUCUCUGACGAAAAAGCAAAACCAAACAUUUGAGAAAUCUGUUCACACGUUCAGUGUUUCUUUUUGUGUGUGUUUGUGAAUGUUAAUGCGAGUGUGUGAGGUUGACUGUGAACAUGUAAUGCCAUCAAGGGUGAGUGUGUGUGUGUGUGUGUGUUUAUGCAAAUCAUGACCUUAAAUACACACUGAAACCAUAAAUAACUAUUUGAAGAUGGCACGGUAAAUAACUAAACACGUGGACCAGUAUUAACAGUAAAGCAGCAGUGAUUGCUUAUUCAGUGUGUGUGUGUACGUUAUAAUCAAUACGGUCUCAUUAUCUCUGCCAAGUUAAUACGCGAGAGUAGCUUCUUUCUCUUUAGUAUCAACGAUAUGAGCGGAACCGAAACUAGAGAUCGUCAGGAUUCCAUACGCGACGCAUAGAAAGUGACGAGCGAAUUUCUUUAUCCUUUAUUAAACUUUGUCAUGAGGUUUUUUUUGCUUUAAGACUGAAGGGCGUGGUCAGGUUUUACGUUCUGAACUAACUGGGAGAAAGGUCCCCAGAAAGGCUUUACUCUCGAGCUGUGUAACACUGCAGUGUUCUCGACAUGCAUCUCCCACUCGUUUUGGAUCUAACGGAGACUCGCCUGAUCGCAGAUCAGCACUUAUUCGGAACCACUUUAGGAAUUUUUGGAGCUAAUUCAAGACACUGAACGUAUAAUAACAGUAUUUGGGUUUAGACUGAAUUGCCUGGUUUCUGCAAGCCUCGCAUUAACAUUAGGGUUAUUUAUGGAAAUAAUGAACAAAUGGCCUACGAUUCUUUUACUAAACCAAAUCCUUAUAAAUGUACUAUUUGUAAAUUUGCCCAAAAAUUAAUAUUGUGCAUUAAUUGUUUACUUCUUAGUUGUUGUUUUUUUUUGUUCAUAAUAUUUAUUAAGCUUGCUUUGUUUUUAUAUAUGAAACAUUGGUUGGUAAAUGUACUGUUUAUUUCAUGACUAUUUUUGUUGUUGUUGUUGUCGUUGUUUUUCAGGUUUAAUUUGUUAAAUUGUCAUUUGUUUAAUUAAGAGGUUAAUCUGCUGAGAACCAAAAUAACCUUGUUCCCAGUGUUGGGGAAAUGGUCCUGUGUGUAAUAAAAAGGCAUCUGAUCUUA
ensembl:lncRNA